GCCAAAUUACCAUAAACAAGGUUGAUGUGGUUCAAUUCAACAUCAAAACAAGGGACAACAAUUGUUUCUCUGUACCUGUCAGAGUUACCUUGUUGGAUAAUGCCUUCAUUAACAGGUAAGUAACUCUGGGAUGCCGUUGUCCCAGCCACGGUGGGUCUUGCUGGGCUGCGGCAGUGAGCCCGAAGUGGGUGUCUGAAGGACUGAGCGACCUUGACACCAGCCUGACACAACGGGCCAUUCUUGCAGCAGGCUGGACGGAAUGAGUCAUUGAGGCACUGUAGUCUGGGACUUUGUCUUGCACCCUCCACCCACCCUCUUUUCCCUCCCCUUCCCCAUCUGUGUGUGGCCACCAACCGAAAGGUCUAUUGCUGUAUACCACCGAUAGCUCCCGAAAAUCUAGAGAGGCCUCCUUGACUCCACAAAGGAGCCUCUAUGCUCUGGACGGGAGCGUCUGAAUGGGAGCCUUCUUUUCUCUGUAACAUCAAUGGGGCUCCUUCUGCGCGCUCUGUAGACUUGGGCCUUCAAAGAACCAUCCCUGUGGCGUUUGAGGCCAUAGCACUCCCCUCCUAUGGCCUUCCGUUCUCAUUUCAAAUCACAACACUGGCGGCUCGUAACGGACGAGGCUCUCGCCAAGAACGGGAUGGAGUUCCUUUGGCUGAUCCUGACACUCUGCGCCCUGGUCAAAACCAACCCAGCAGAUGUAAUCACGAACGGACCCCCUAAGGGAAUCGUUCUCCGCAAUGAUCCAGGAUUCCUUAUAACUAACUGCAGAGUACUAACGCAGAGGGUGUUCGUCCGCCUAGAUGCAGAGAACAUGUACCGCCAACACAUUCCACCUUCGGCGCAUUUGAGUUGGACUGGGGCUGACUGGACCACCUAGGCAGAGGACCUGAACGCUGGGACUAUGCCUCAGGACUACCUGGCCAGAUGACUCCUUGCUGUCCCCAGUUCACCUGGUCAUGCUGCUGC